UCUAACAAGGAAGUCAAGUGACACCACGAGCAGCAGCAGCGUCCUUGUGAAUGCUGCCAGCUCCUUUAUUUAAUAUACUAAAUUUUUGACAUAGUAUUGCAGAUAUGAAGAUAGAUCCUGUAAAAUGGAACCGGAAUGCGUCACUGGCCUAUGCUGUUGGUGUAUGGACCAUGCUUGGUUACGCAUAUUACAAAUACACGCUCGGAAGCGACAAAGUUGAAAAGGUCGUCGAAGACAACAGUCCUAAUGUGAAGAUAUAUGAAACAAAACACACUCGAACCACAGUUAUCUAUAAGGACUCUGAAGAUUCUGUGCCAUACACCACAAUGCUUUUAAACUUCUUCAAAGGUACAUCUGGGAGUUCUCAAGAGAGUGAAAAACAAGAAGAAGAGAAAUGAGCUGACUGUUUGUUUUGGUUUUUCUGACAAAAGAUUAAUUGUCAUAUUUUAAAAUGAAAUUAAAAAACACAAUGUAUGUUUUGGGACACUGAACUGAGCUGCAGUUGAGGUUUUCUCGCCCUCAGGCCAUCCAGAAUAUAGAUGAGUUAGCUUCUGGUGAGCAUUACAUCACUUGCUCACCAAUGGAUCCUCUGCAGUGAAUGGGUGCCAUCAAAAUGAGAGUCCAAACAGCUGAUAAAAACAUCACAAUAAUCCACACGACUCCAAUCCAUCAAUUUAUAUCAUGUAACAUGAAAAGCUGCCUGUUUGUAAUAAACACCCUUAAUACUGUGCUUUUUAUUUGAAAAAGAGCUGGAAAUACAAUUUUGGGGGGGG